GAUGAAGAACGCAGCGAAAUGCGAUACGUAAUGUGAAUUGCAGAAUUCAGUGAAUCAUCGAAUCUUUGAACGCACAUUGCGCCUGCCAGCACUCUGGCAGGCAUGCCUGUUCGAGCGUCAUUUCAACCAUCAAGCCCUAGGCUUGCGUUGGAGCCCUGCGGCUGCCGCAGGCCCCUAAAAGCAGUGGCGGGCUCGCUAUCACACCGAGUGCAGUAGAUUACUCUUCGCUCAGGGCGUGUGGCGGGUUCCAGCCGUGAAACCCCCUACUUCUCAAGGUUGACCUCGGAUCAGGUAGGAAUACUCGCUGAACUUAAGCAUAUCAAUAAGCGGAGGA
rnacentral:misc_RNA from 1 species